UUUAUUUUGUUUUUUUCAUGAAGACUCAACCAAAACAAACAUAUAAACUAUAGGCAAACGAAUGCAAGAAACAAAACCAUAUACAUAUACUUGCACGAUAAAGUUCGAAAUCAUUAGGUGGUGGCGGAACCCUGAAGAAGUCCAUCACGUAUCUGAUUAGCGACCUCACGAACCGCACCCGGUCCAUGAGGGAUAAACACAGCCGAUGAUUUGGAAGAUGCACCAAUGUCCUUCAUUGUGUCAAAAUACUGAGUCACUAAAACCAUGUCCAUAACAUCUUUUGCAGUCGUUCCUGGAACAUUCACCGAG
rnacentral:lncRNA from 1 species